CAUACCCUGCAGUAUUCGUCAGUGAUCGAGAGACCCUUGAGCCGUAAUACAUACCCCCGGGGGCUGAGUAGUGGCGCUGUGUGCAUGUCCGCCUUUGAGCGGAAAGCCUAAUGUUCCCACGACGUCCCCACUUGAACCUUUGGUUCAAGGCACAGAUCCCAACGGUACAGGCGGGGCUGCC
rnacentral:other from 1 species